rnacentral:tRNA from 2 species
GGGACUAUAGUUAACAAUAACAUUUGGGUUGCAUUCAAAAAGUACUAUUUAUAAUAGUUAGCCUCA